rnacentral:rRNA from 1 species
UACGUAGGGGCCGAGCGUUGUCCGGAUUUAUUGGGCGUAAAGAGCUCGUAGGCGGUUGGGUAAGUCGGGUGUGAAAACUCCAGGCUCAACUUGGAGACGCCACCCGAUACUGCUCUGACUUGAGUUCGGUAGGGGAGUGUGGAAUUCCCGGUGUAGCGGUGAAAUGCGCAGAUAUCGGGAGGAACACCAGUGGCGAAGGCGGCACUCUGGGCCGGAACUGACGCUGAGGAGCGAAAGCGUGGGGAGCGAACAGG